rnacentral:lncRNA from 1 species
UUGGUAUCUGAGAGCUCUGCAGUAAAGAAAACCUGCCCAUAUGCACUGGGGGUGGAGAGAGAAGGUUUUAUAACAGAUUUAAAAUUAGAAAACAAAAUGGCCUGAUUAACAGCAGUAGGAAGAGUUAUGCAGAGGAUGAGGGGAGAAAUUAAAGGAUGACAUUCAAAGGCAGCUGUGAAGUAUGAGAAGCUGCAGCACGCGGAGGUAGUCAAAUCUAGCAGUACAGAAAGUUCUGAAUGAUCUGUAAUGCUGGAAUAAAUCAGAUAGUUGGGGGGGGAUCUUUCAAGUGGUGGAUCAUCAAAAAUGUGGAUCACCUCUACUUAGCCAGGUGGUAAACCAGUAGAUUCCAUCCUAGGCUAGAGCAACAUAUUGUUAUUAAAAGUGGGUGUUGUCUAGGAAAUGUGUGCAAAGAUAAUUCAGUCAAACUGACCUGCUGAGGAUAUGAUUUUAGUGUGCACCAGUUUUUGUUGUUGUUGUUGUUGUUUGUUUGUUUGUUUGUUUUAGAGUUGUUAUUUGUUGUUUAAUUGUUGUUUGUUUGUUUAGAGUCUCCCCCCACCCCAACAUUUUAUUCUUCAGAAAGCAAAUGUAAUUCAGCUAUUGCUGUCUCCAUCUGAGAACGUAUCUUUCACUUACCUUUCACUUAUGGACGAAAGGUAGAGCUCCUUAACAAAGGUGCUUUCCAAUUCUGGUCACAUGGUGUAGAGAGAAUGAAAGACUCUGUUGCACAGCUACAUUAAGGAAACUCUUGAUGCCUCAGUGAGGAUCCUUAUGGAGGCUUCCCUCUAGAGAGCUUUCCCGUGAAAGAUCUGCUACAGUGCUAAUGUGGACCACGCUCUGUCUUCUUGCUGCCCUGGACCUACCCUAACUGCCAACAAACUGCAGAAAGAGGCAACAUAAUGUGCCCAUCUCUGAGGAGGAUUGUGAAAAGAAAGUUGCAGGCCUUCUCGUUUGAAUUUUCUGAAGUUUUCUCUGAUACGUCGUCCUUUGUUUCUGAAUUGUGGUGCUUGAACCAGUUAGAUUGAGGAAAAGAAUUACAAAACUCCAGAGAUGGAUCUCCAUCUGCAGCUCACUGGGAGUGAAUUGCAGCUGUUGUCUUUAGCUGUCUUAAUUUCUAUAAAUACAUGUGAAUGUCAACACACACUGAAUAAAAU